rnacentral:sRNA from 1 species
GCCUCUUUUAGAGACUGGACCACAUAAUUUCUUUCUCUUAAUAUCUUUGAAGAAAGAAACUACUUUUUAUUUUAAGAUUAUAUGGGGGUAUAUCCUAUGGCCUCUCUGCUACUUUUCCUAAGAGCUAAGAUCCAAACAUAACAUGAUGUAAUGGUUCUUUUAUCCUCUGUUUUAUGUGUGUGUGUGUUUUAGUUUUCCAGUUCUCAAGAUGAGGAGGAGAUUGAUAUGGAUACGGUUCAUGAUAGCCAGGCCUUCAUUUCCCAUCAUUUAAACAUGCUUGAAAGGCCAUCAACUCCAGGGCUCUCGAAAUAUCGGCCAGCUAGCUCCCGAUCUGCUUUAAUACCCCAGCACUCAGCAGGCUGUGACAGCACACCCACCACAAAACCCCAGUGGAGUUUGGAACUUGCACGGAAGGGAACAGGUAAAGAACAAGCACCUUUGGAGAUGAGUAUGCAUCCAGUGGCAAGCACUCCACUCUCAGUCUUUACUAAGGAAUCUACAGCCUCCAAACACAGUGACCACCAUCACCACCAUCACCAUGAGCAC